AGAAGGACCACAGCCAUCGCCCGUCUCCCAUCUCCAAGAUGGCGGAGGCAGCUUCAACCUCACCUCUCGCGAGGAGUGCGUCCUACUGUCUCUGAUUAGCCCUGAGGUCAGAGGAACUGGAUGGAGGCUGUGGUGUUAGAGCCCAGUGAGCCACGGGGAAGGGCACGGAGUGAGGUUGAAGAGUAGGUCGUUCUGGUUGUUCACGCGAAGAGUUUAUCAGCGAGAGGCAGCAGUGAAAGUGAGCAGAACAAUUACAAGGCUUGCAGGCAAGCAAGAGAUUGGUAACUUCGCACUAAGGUGGUGGCAUAGGAUAUACAUCUAAGAGGUAGAAACAGCAGGGCUUGCUGAUACAAGCAAAUGAGAAUGAGGAAGAGAAGAAUCAUGGGUGGUUUGAGCUUGAGUGUCUUGCUUGAGUAUUUGGAUGGAUGGUGGUCCCUUUUACUGAGUUGCUGAUGGACGGCCUUUAAAAAGAAAAAAAAGAACUAUGCCCUCGGAUUGAACAGAGGUCUUGGAGGGGUGGGAGUGAUUUAGGAAGCUGGGUCAUCAGCUGUGGGGUUGGAGGACUGAGGAAUGUCAGAAGAGAAAAAAG